CUCCGGUUCAUUCAGGCUCUGUGGAAGAUGGUAAAGUCAGAACGUACCGAUUGUAGCUGUUGCUUUAAACUACCCUGGGUCGUUGUACAUUCAAGCCUAGCACUGCGCAGCAUUAUUUUCAGCGUCAAACCGCUUAAUGUUUUCAGAGCCGCUAUCACAUAAAUUAGCAGCGCGCCAGGCUGACAGCACGCUGUGGACGGGCAGAUUUUAUUCGCGUUCACUAACUCGUAACCAAAGAAAAAAUACAAUUUAGCUACUCGUGUGAUGUGACACAAACCCGUCGUAGCAAACUUCUGUCAACUUGCUAUUGAGACUGAAUGUGUUUGACUUACAUAGAGUGGUCAUAAUAUGGAUUAUGUGUAUAAUCCGUUUUUUACGCAAACCAAACUGUUGCAAAUUUAACAUGAAUAGCCCAUAGUCUACAUAAUAUUGUCUUGUCCAUUGUUUUGUUAUUUUAAGAAAACCAACACAAAUGUAUCAGUGUUUGUGUAUUCAUUUGAGAGUUCAAUUUACUUGCUAGAAAUAAGCGCAUCAGAACUUCCCAGUUUAUUCUCAUUUAGCAGCCUGGGGCACCAGUGGCUCAGAACACAUUUUGUGAUCUGAGGGGUGGAGCCUUUGGUUACUUCACCACAGACCCUGUGGUAUAAAGUAGGCAAAGGCUCCACCUCUCAGUGGCCACCUAGGUGAGGACUCAAAGAGAAACCUGAACAUACAGAGAGUACCCAAAGACAAAACAUUCCUAUGAGGCAGACGCCAGUACCAGUAUGGCAGAAUUCAUCAAGAAGGUGGUGUUGGAUGAAACCCCCAGUAAAAAGGGGAUAAAAAGGCUGGAGGACGAGCCAAACAGAGACGACAAGUCAUGGGACAGCAAAUCGGACUUUAGAUGGAAUGCCCGCUCUGCUUCGCACCCGGACCUAUGGAUUGUGGGUCAGAGCCUUACAUUGUGAAUGAGGGGGCUGGUUAGUGGAAGACCAAGUCGGAUUACGAAUUAGCAGGAGGAUUUAAUACUUUUUUUCACUGGGAGUGCCAAUUCAAAGAGCUUCUUUACCAGGUGGUGCCACUACCCACUACUCCCUUUAAUUAUUUUCAGAGACAUUUUUCUAUCAUGUUAUUGUAUUCGGGAUUCAGCGUGCUUGUGUGUACGUGUUUAUUUUUCAUUUUAUAAACUCUCUUUCUGACUUAUUUUCCAUUAAACAUUUUCAACUCCAUGUUUACUUUUUUGGUUUGUCAAAGUAUUUUUCUUGUUUUUCAAUUUUGAUUUUUUCCAAUAAAAAUGUGCAUACAUAAACAA